CAAAGAGCCGAAGUUGUGUUAGCAGCAUAAUGCAGCUGUUUUUGUCCAGGAUGCACGAGCGCAAAACCCGAUAAGCUGGAUCAUCGAUGGGCAAGCGAAUAACCAUUCCAAACAGUCGGACUACUGGGAACCAGUUCUGUACAAGAACCAGUUCUUAAUUUCUAUCCUUACCUAUGAGUCACACUGAGCUUAUUUAAGGAUAUCAUUUAAGGUAGUAUUUUACGUCAGUUAUUGAAACUACUCACAAAUAUUUAUCGUGUCUUCUGAGCUCUGAUCGGCACUGAAACAGGAAGAUAAUCUCCACAGAGUUUUCUCAUGAGAAUUUAUAAAUGACACUGAGAACACAGUUUUUGUAGUUUUGCCUCUUUAUUCACGCUGUGAGUGAAGUGCAGACUCCCAGUUCUAACGGGAGGGGUUUAAAUAAGGUUGUGACACACACAGUCCUUCAUUUUCAGAGGCUCAGGAGCAGUGGUGGUCCUAGCCUGUUUGGCGCCCUGGGCGAAGACUCCCUCUGGCGCCAUCGGAAUCCGGUUCACAGUGAUGAGCAAGCCUCCAGAGGAAGAGGAGCAGGAGAGGGAGUGUGAGGAUGUGGGCGUGGCCUCCCUGAGGAUCCCUGACAUCCUUUAGAAACGGCGAGACAUGACGGAGGAGCGUUUGAACGGUCAGCACGCACCGAAAAGAUAACUACUUACUGAUCAAUCAGUAAUCUGUGGCUGGUUUAAAAGAAGCUGCAGCAGGUGUUUGUGUAGUCUCAGCCGUGUUUCAGCUUUUAGUUCAUGCUUAACAUCAGGAGCUUGUCAUCAGUGAUGUGAGUAAACAAAGGUCAGCGAUUAGCUAAUGAACCUUCUAACGAUGGCGUCAGUGAGCAAACAGACAUCAGGUGCACCUGAAUGCACGUGAUGUCCUCUGUUUUUGCAGGUUCACAGAUGUUUCUGCAAAAAGCCUGGAAGACAAAACUGAGACAUGAACACACUGCAGGUCCACCUCAGAUUUAGACCUGCAGCCGUGUGUGUGUUUUAAACCUGUGAAUAAAGAGGACUGUUCUGAA